GUAGGUGGCAAGCGUUGUCCGGAAUUAUCGGGCGUAAAGCGCGCGCAGGCGGUCCUUUAAGUCUGAUGUGAAAGCCCACGGCUCAACCGUGGAGGGUCAUUGGAAACUGGGGGACUUGAGUACAGAAGAGGAAAGCGGAAUUCCAAGUGUAGCGGUGAAAUGCGUAGAGAUUUGGAGGAACACCAGUGGCGAAGGCGGCUUUCUGGUCUGUAACUGACGCUGAGGCGCGAAAGCGUGGGGAGCAAACAGGGAUUAGAUACCCUGGUAGUCCACGCCGUAAACGAUGAGUGCUAAGUGUUAGGGGGGUUUCCCGCCCCUUAGUGCUGCAGCUAACGCAUUAAGCACUCCGCCUGGGGAGUACGGCCGCAAGGCUG
rnacentral:rRNA from 1 species